CGGGUCGUGUAAGCAGUCGAGUAGCCUUGUAGUUACGAGCUGCUGAGCGUAAGCCCGCCGCUAGCUUGGUUGAAA
rnacentral:rRNA from 1 species